rnacentral:rRNA from 1 species
AACGACUCUCGGCAACGGAUAUCUCGGCUCUCGCAUCGAUGAAGAACGCAGCGAAAUGCGAUACUUGGUGUGAAUUGCAGAAUCCCGCGAACCAUCGAGUCUUUGAACGCAAGUUGCGCCCAAAGCCUUCCGGCCGAGGGCACGUCUGCCUGGGUGUCAC